rfam:Arabis alpina cultivar Pajares scaff_67745_1_contig_9, whole genome shotgun sequence.
AACCCGUGAUGAGGACAAUCUCUCUGAUAUCCCUUGAACCGUUCCCAUGAAGCCAUGAAGGCUUCAGUUGGCCCUGAAAAAAUGUUGAGAUCUUAGCUCGCAGAU